AUGCAGUCGACGCGAAAGGNUCCUUCGGGGGCCGAGUAGAGNGGNGCACGNCCUUUUNAANACGUAGGUAAUUUGCCUUCGGGUGGGGAAUAACUCUUGGAAACUUGAGCUAAUACCGCAUAAUGCAGCGGCUCGACAUCGAGACAGUUGUUAAAGCGGGGGAUCGCAAGACCUCGCGCCUGAAGAGAAGCCUGCGGCAGAUUAGCUAGUUGGUAAGGUAAUGGCUUACCAAGGCGACGAUCUGUAACCGGCCUGAGAGGGCGGUCGGUCACACUGACACUGACAUACGGGUCAGACUCCUACGGGAGGCAGCAGUCGGGAAUUUUGGGCAAUGGGCGAAAGCCUGACCCANCAACGCCGCGUGAAGGAUGAAAUUUUUCGGAAUGUAAACUUCGCAAGAACAGGAAGAAUAAGUAGGGGACAAUACCCCCUAUGAUGACGGUACUGUUUGUAAGCUCCGGCUAACUCCGUGCCAGCAGCCGCGGUAAUACGGGGGGAGCAAGCGUUGUUCGGAUUUACUGGGCGUAAAGGGCGCGUAGGCGGCGUGACAAGUCACUUGUGAAAUCUCCGAGCUUAACUCGGAACGGUCAAGUGAUACUGUCGUGCCUAGAGUACAGAAGGGGCAACUGGAAUUCUCGGUGUAGCGGUGAAAUGGCGUANAUNCCAAGAGGAACACCUGCGGCGAAGGCNGGUUUGCUGGGCUGAUUCUGACNCUGNAGGCNCGAAAAGCCAGGGGGAGCGAACCGGGGAUUAGAUACCCCGG
rnacentral:rRNA from 1 species